GACGAACGCUGGCGGCGUGCCUAAUACAUGCAAGUAGAACGCUGAAGGAGGAGCUUGCUCUUCUGGAUGAGUUGCGAACGGGUGAGUAACGCGUAGGUAACCUGCCUGGUAGCGGGGGAUAACUAUUGGAAACGAUAGCUAAUACCGCAUAAUAGUAGAUGUUGCAUGAUAUUUACUUAAAAGGUGCAAUUGCACCACUACCAGAUGGACCUGCGUUGUAUUAGCUAGUUGGGGGGGUAACGGCUCACCAAGGCGACGAUACAUAGCCGACCUGAGAGGGUGGUCGGCCACACUGGGACUGAGACACGGCCCAGACUCCUACGGGAGGCAGCAGGAGGGAAUCUUCGGCAAUGGACGAAAGUCUGACCGAGCAACGCCGCGUGAGUGAAGAAGGUUUUCGGAUCGUAAAGCUCUGUUGUAAGAGAAGAACGAGUGUGAGAGUGGAAAGUUCACACUGUGACGGUAUCUUACCAGAAAGGGACGGCUAACUACGUG
rnacentral:rRNA from 1 species